GACACCUGAACAAAGAAAUGUGGUCAUUCAUGCCAUUGCAUCAAUGAAAGCAUGUCUGACGGAGGAAGAGUUUCUCAAUGUAUCUGCCAAGAAAUGCAGUGAGAUCGACACCUUUUUGGAUAGUCCCCAUGUAACAACUUAUCUGAAGACAAAUUGGUUUACUUAUGCGGAGCUGUGGGUAAACUUUGGCAGAACGUUCUAUCACUGUAGCAGUGAGACAAACAACAAGGCUGAAAGCUACAUGGAUGGCCUCAGCGAAGCAGGACGACUGACAUUAUCCAGCUCUGCUGCUCACCAGGCUGCUGCGCUGCUAUUUAAAAAUGGUGUGGGCUAAGAUUUGGACAUAGAAGUGGGGCAGUGCUUUGUGCCAUCACAGUCAACCAACACAGCCUACAAAGUUAACUUGUUACACUUCACGUGUGAAUGCACCAAUUUCCGGAUGGGAAACAUAUGCAAACAUCUUCUCUUGGUGAAGAUGGAGGUAGGCAGGAGAGGUAUUGACAUUGAAAAAAUGCGGAAUAAUAAAGCGCUAGAAAUCAUCAGCCUCCGUCUCUAUCAGCAGACUGAAGAUGAAAUAACCAUCUUCAAUAGUGAUGGGACUAUGAGUAUUGUGAAUAGGAAAACUCCGACUUUGUGCACAUGCAUUGCUAAUAGUUUUGGAGAAAGAUGUGUUUGCAUACAUGUCACACAUGUCCUCAAGCCUCAAGACAUUCUCACAGACCCCAAAGAAAAUGCACAAGUGUCUGAAUCCUCCCAUACAGUCCAUGUUAUCAGACCUACUACAGUGGAGCAACUCCGAAGCAUUUGAACAUACCCCUGAACUGUACCAUACCAUCCAAAGAGCACACAAGCUGGCUUUUGGAAAAUUCACUGCUGUGUCCAGAAAAAGGAAAAUUACCCCUUUACAUGGUUACCGUAAAAAAAUUAAAAAAGCUAGACUGCAGAGAGCAGUAGUUGAGAACUUUAAAAACAAAAGAAGAGCAAGAAGAACUUAAUUCUGUUAUUCUGGAGGUGCCAUUGUUUGCAUGUGAAAGCGCCUGUCUUGUUUGGUUGAUGAAUUUUCUUGGUAGUUGAUCAGGUAAAUAAAAUACUGAUAAUUAAAUCAAAGUUUUAUGAAGUUUUGGGAAAUAUAUAGACUUACAUUAAUGGCAGAAGCAAUAGUAGUGUUUUACCAAUAUGAAAUGUAAAUUAUACCAGCAAAGUGGUGAAGUACACAGGUCCCGUAAUUCAGUAAAAGUAUUGAUCCCC